GCGCCUGUAGCUCAGCCGGAUAGAGCAACGGACUUCUAAUCCGUAGGCCGGGGGUUCGAAUCCCUCCAGGCGCGCCA
rnacentral:tRNA from 1 species